rnacentral:rRNA from 1 species
CUCCUACUGGAGGCAGCAGUGAGGAAUAUUGGUCAAUGGGCGAGAGCCUGAACCAGCCAAGUAGCGUGAAGGAUGACUGCCCUAUGGGUUGUAAACUUCUUUUAUAAAGGAAUAAAGUCGGGUAUGGAUACCCGUUUGCAUGUACUUUAUGAAUAAGGAUCGGCUAACUCCGUGCCAGCAGCCGCGGUAAUACGGAGGAUCCGAGCGUUAUCCGGAUUUAUUGGGUUUAAAGGGAGCGUAGAUGGAUAUUUAAGUCAGUUGUGAAAGUUUGCGGCUCAACCGUAAAAUUGCAGUUGAUACUGGAUAUCUUGAGUGCAGUUGAGGCAGGCGGAAUUCGUGGUGUAGCGGUGAAAUGCUUAGAUAUCACGAAGAACUCCGAUUGCGAAGGCAGCCUGCUAAGCUGCAACUGACAUUGAGGCUCGAAAGUGUGGGUAUCAAACAGGAUUAGAUACCCUGGUAGUCCACACGGUAAACGAUGAAUACUCGCUGUAGGCGAUAUACAGUCUGCGGCCAAGCGAAAGCAUUAAGUAUUCCACCUGGGGAGUACGCCGGCAACGGUGAAACUCAAAGGAAUUGACGGGGGCCCGCACAAGCGGAGGAACAUGUGGUUUAAUUCGAUGAUACGCGAGGAACCUUACCCGGGCUUAAAUUGCAACCGAAUAUGGCGGAAACGCUAUAGCUAGCAAUAGCGGUUGUGAAGGUGCUGCAUGGUUGUCGUCAGCUCGUGCCGUGAGGUGUCGGCUUAAGUGCCAUAACGAGCGCAACCCUCGUGGUCAGUUACUAACAGGUCAAGCUGAGGACUCUGGCCAGACUGCCAUCGUAAGAUGCGAGGAAGGUGGGGAUGACGUCAAAUCAGCACGGCCCUUACGUCCGGGGCUACACACGUGUUACAAUGGGAGGUACAGAAGGCAGCUACCCGGCGACGGGAUGCCAAUCUCCAAAACCUCUCUCAGUUCGGACUGGAGUCUGCAACCCGACUCCACGAAGCUGGAUUCGCUAGUAAUCGCGCAUCAGCCACGGCGCGGUGAAUACGUUCCCGGGCCUUGUACACACCGC